UCCCUGGUGGCUCAGAGGGUAAAGCGUCUGCCUGCAAUGCAGGAGACCUGGAUUCGAUCCCUGGGUUGGGAA
rnacentral:tRNA from 1 species